GCCGCUGGAGCCUUGCUUUUUGGAGAUGGCAACACAAGUACUGGAAACCCAAGCGGAUGGGAAUUGUCCCGUUCUUCUAUGCCAUCAACUGCGGCAAACGGAAGCACCACAGGAACUACUA
rfam:Aedes aegypti strain Liverpool supercont1.56 genomic scaffold, whole genome shotgun sequence.